GUCAGGUGCAGUGGCACACACAUGUAGUCCCAGCUACUUGAGAAGCUGAGGCAGGAGGAUCACUUGAGCCCAGGAGUUCUGGGCUAUAGUGUGCUAUGCCUAUCAAGUGUCCCCCUAGCAUCAAUACGGUGACCUCCUGGGAUCAGGGGACCACCACCUAAGGAGGGAUGAACCAGCCCAAGUCAGAAAUGAAGCAGGUCAAAACUCCAGUUCUGACCAGUACUGAGAUCUUGCCUGUGAAUGGCAACUGCACUCCAGCCUGGGCAACAUUGGGAGACUGUGA
ensembl:misc_RNA Metazoa_SRP Metazoan signal recognition particle RNA